AAUUAAGUUAUUAAGGGCAUAGAGUGGAUGCCUUGGUGCUAGAAGGCGAUGAAAGACGUGAUAAGCUGCGAUAAGCUUCGGUUAGGUGCAAACAACCUUUAACCCGGAGAUUUCUGAAUGGGGUAACCUGAUACGAUUGAAUCGUAUCGUUCCUUCCUGAAUAAAAUAAGGAAGGAUACGCAAGACCUGCUGAAUUGAAACAUCUUAGUAAGCAGAGGAAAAGAAAGAGAAUUCGAUUCCGUAAGUAGCGGCGAGCGAAAACGGACCAGCCCAAACCGGCAUCUUUGAUGUCGGGGUUGUAGGACCCCGCUGUGGGACCUUUGAAGAUAGGUGAACACUUUGGAAAGAGUGGACAAAGAGCGUGACAUCCGCGUAACCGAAAUCUGAAAAGGCCCUAGGGAGUUCCUGAGUAGCACGGGACACGUGAAACCCCGUGUGAAUCUGCGCAGACCACUGCGUAAGGCUAAAUACUAACUAGCGACCGAUAGUGAACCAGUACCGUGAGGGAAAGGUGAAAAGUACCCCUGUGAGGGGAGUGAAAUAGAACCUGAAACCCUAUGCCUACAAGGUGUUAGAGCCCUUUCGAGGGUGAUAGCGUGCCUUUUGCUUAAUGAGUCUGCGAGUUACCGUCUGUGGCAAGCUUAAGAUCUUCUGGAUCGUAGGCGUAGCGAAAGCAAGUCCGAAUAGGGCGACCCUAGUUGCAGGCGGUAGACCCGAAACGGAGGUGACCUACCCAUGGCCAGGUUGAAGCUUAGGUGAUACUAAGUGGAGGACCGAACCGGUGUGUGUUGAAAAACGCUCGGAUGAGCUGUGGGUCGGAGUGAAAGGCUAAUCAAACCCCGUGAUAGCUGGUUCUCCUCGAAAUGCAUUUAGGUGCAGCGUUGCGUGUUGAUGAGUGGGGGUAGAGCACUGACAGGGCUAGGGGGCAUACCCGCCUACCAACCCCUAUCAAACUCCGAAUACCAUUCAAUAGAGCGCAGCAGUGAGACGGCGGGGGAUAAGCUUCGUCGUCGAGAGGGAAACAGCCCAGAUCAGCAGCUAAGGUGCCUAAAUUGUGCUCAGUGGAAAGGAGGUGAGGUUUCAUAGACAGUGAGGAUGUUGGCUUAGAAGCAGCCACCAUUUAAAAAAUGCGUAAUAGCUUACUCAUCGAGAGACCUUGCGCCGAAAAUACUUGGCGAUAAGCACAAUACCGAAGCUCUGGGUGUCCUAGUUUACUAGGGCGCGGUAGAGGAGCAUUCUCUGUGCAGUGAAGGGUGAUGGCGACUGACCCUGGAGCGCAGAGAAGUGAGAAUGCAGACAUGAGUAACGAUAAGAGCGGUGAAAUCCCGCUCCGCCGUAAAUCCAAGGUUUCCCGGGCAACGUUUUUCGUCCCGGGGUUAGUCGGGACCUAACCCGAGGCCGAUGGGCGUAGGGGAUGGUAAGCAGGUUAAUAUUCCUGCACCCAGUAAGGAGGACGCAUAAUGAAAAGCUACUAGGUUAUUGAAUUCCGAGGCGAGGCUUAGGCCGGACCGUAUAGCUGGACAGAGUGCCAAGAAAAGCCCUUACAUUAAUGGCCCGUACCGUAAACCGACACAGGUGGAUGGGUAGAAUAUACCAAGGCGCAAGAGUGAAACCUGGUCAAGGAACUCGGCAAAAUAGCCCCGUAACUUCGGAAGAAGGGGUGCCCCCUCUGGGGGGCCGCAGUGAAAUGGCCCAACCGACUGUUUAGCAAAAACACAGCAUUGUGCUAAGGCGUAAGCCGACGUAUACGAUGUGACACGUGACCAAUGCCAAAAGAUUACGGUAAGAUGUUAGCACUUUAGUGCGAAGCUUCGAGCCCAAGUCCUGGUGAAUGUCGGCCGUAACUAUAACGGUCCUAAGGUAGCGAAAUUCCUUGUCGGGUAAGUUCCGACCUGCACGAAUCGUGCAACGAGUUGGGCGCUGUCUCGACCAGGUGCUCAGUGAAAUU
rnacentral:rRNA from 1 species